rnacentral:tRNA from 1 species
GGAGGGUAUACUCAGUGGUAGAGUGCGUGUUUAGCAUGCACCAUGUCCUGGGUUCAAUCCCCAGAGCCUCCA